GAGAGCCGUAUGCGGUGAAAGUUGCACGUACGGUUCGGGGGGAGCGUUCUGGUUAUCCAUAUAAGAAGAAAAUGAAGAAUGGUUGUUGAUACCCUUAA
rnacentral:ncRNA from 1 species